rnacentral:rRNA from 1 species
GACAGAGGCCCCAAGCGUUAGGCGGAAUCACUGGGCUUAAAGCGUGUGUAGGCGGAUGCCUAAGUACCUUGUGAAAUCCCACGGCUCAACCGUGGAACUGCUUGGUAUACUGGGUGUCUUGAGCCAAUCAGGGGCAACUGGAACAAACGGUGGAGCGGUGAAAUGCGUAGAUAUCGUUUGGAACGCCAAAGGUGAAAACAGGUUGCUGGGAUUAUGCUGACGUGAGACACGAAAGCCAGGGGAGCAAACGGGG